rnacentral:rRNA from 1 species
AACGAACGCUGGCGGCAGGCCUAACACAUGCAAGUCGAACGCCCUAGCAAUAGGGAGUGGCAGACGGGUGAGUAACGCGUGGGAAUAUCCCCCUCAGUACGGAAUAGCCCAGGGAAACUUGGAGUAAUACCGUAUACGUCCGUGAGGAGAAAGAUUUAUCGCUGAGGGAUUAGCCCGCGUAGGAUUAGCUAGUUGGUGAGGUAAUGGCUCACCAAGGCGACGAUCCUUAGCUGGUCUGAGAGGACGAUCAGCCACACUGGGACUGAGACACGGCCCAGACUCCUACGGGAGGCAGCAGUGGGGAAUAUUGGACAAUGGGCGCAAGCCUGAGCCAGCCAUGCCGCGUGAGUGACGAAGGCCUUAGGGUUGUAAAGCUCUUUUGGCGGGGACGAUAAUGACGGUACCCGCAGAAUAAGCCCCGGCUAACUUCGUGCCAGCCGCCGCAGUAAAAC